UACGUAGGGUGCGAGCGUUAAUCGGAAUUACUGGGCGUAAAGCGUGCGCAGGCGGUUCGUUGUGUCGGCGGUGAAAGCCCCGGGCUCAACCUGGGAAUGGCCGUUGAAACUGGCGAACUGGAGUGUGGCAGAGGGGGGUGGAAUUCCGCGUGUAGCAGUGAAAUGCGUAGAGAUGCGGAGGAACACCGAUGGCGAAGGCAGCCCCCUGGGCUAACACUGACGCUCAUGCACGAAAGCGUGGGGAGCAAACAGG
rnacentral:rRNA from 1 species